rnacentral:rRNA from 1 species
GAUGAACGCUAGCGGCAGGCCUAAUACAUGCAAGUCGAGGGGUAGUGGAAGCUUGCUUCCAUGAGACCGGCGCACGGGUGCGUAACGCGUAUGCAACCUACCUCUAUCUGGGGGAUAGCCCGGAGAAAUCCGGAUUAACACCGCAUAAAAUCACAGUACGGCAUCGUACAAUGAUCAAAUAUUUAUAGGAUAGGGAUGGGCAUGCGUGUCAUUAGUUAGUUGGCGGGUAACGGCCCACCAAGACCACGAUGACUAGGGGAUCUGAGAGGAUGGCCCCCCACACUGGUACUGAGACACGGACCAGACUCCUACGGGAGGCAGCAGUAAGGAAUAUUGGUCAAUGGAGGCAACUCUGAACCAGCCAUGCCGCGUGCAGGAAGACGGCCCUCUGGGUUGUAAACUGCUUUUAUUCGGGAAUAAACCUGCUUAGUCGUAAGUAGCUGAAUGUACCGAAGGAAUAAGGAUCGGCUAACUCCGUGCCAGCAGCCGCGGUAAUUUGGGGA